UGAAACUUCACAACGUACGCCAUACGUUUCUUGCUGGUUCUUCUUCUUCUUCCUUGAACUCUCUGAAGUGAAAGUUCUUUGCUUCCAUAAUGGCUUCCUUUCGUUGCUUCAACCCUUUUCCCUUCCUUCUCUUCCAAGUAAUUCCAACUCUCUCUUGCCCAAUUAGCUUCUAAUUAGAAACCCUCCUUCUACUUCACGUAGUCUAAGAGACCAUCAUCAUGACCCCUGCAAGUCUUGUCCAGCAAAAAAUCAGGCAAAGGUUUCCACUCCAAGAAACCAUACCAAAAGUUGGAGCAUGCCUCUGAGAAGUCCAAAAAGCAUAAGCAUGGAGAUCAAGUUCAAGUUCCAGAAGGUUAUAUGGCUCUGUACGUGGGGGAAGAGUGAAGAAGAAAGUAUUAAGUUUUCAUUGAAGUGUCUCUCUUGUCCAGCUUUCCAAAAAGAGACUAUCAAGUCGCAGCCGGAUGCGUUUGAUGCCAAGAUUGAAGGGCCAUUUCUGCUUUUAUCAUAUUCAACCACCCCACUAGUUGCCAAAACAAUCGCAAGCUUGGAAAGAGCCGCCGUUUCUGCCCUGCUAAUGAUCCUGAUCAGGCCUGGUUCUCCACAGUCAUGGCCGUGGGGUCAUAUAUGUGAUUGCCAAAAACUUGUGGCCAAACUCGAAAGUGCUAUACACUGGCAUGAAUUAUCAUGAAUAUCAUCAGAAUCCGGAUCUUUCGAGGAAAUGGUUCAUUAGGCGUGAACCAAAAGGCUGGUUGCGGUUAGGUGCAUGCGUGGUCCUGUCUCAAUUUUCAUGACCUAACCUCUUUCGAAAAAAUGUCGACACUAUGAGUUCAUUCGUUUCCUCAUCUGUGGAAACACUCACGUAGUUUUCUGGUUUAAAAUGCAACCAAAUUCCCUGAAAUUUGUGCAUUGAUUUAACAUGUAGUCUUUUUCUGAAAGAAACCCAGAAGACUAAAUGAGUGUCAAGUUGAGGGUUUGGUUUGCAGUAAAAGUUCCAAGUCCUCAAAAGAGGGCCAAAAGUCACAUGGGUUGAAUUAGGUAUAGACAAAAGCAAUGGGAAGGAGAUGGCUGGAGGGAAUAAAAUAAAGAGGCUGCACUGCACUGCACAGGAGAGCACAAAGGAUAACGUUACUUUCAUAAAUGAACAUGAAUCACACUAUAUUUUAUAAUGCCA